rnacentral:rRNA from 1 species
ACAAUGAAGAGUUUGAUCCUGGCUCAGGAUGAACGCUAGCUACAGGCUUAACACAUGCAAGUCGAGGGGCAGCAUUUCAGUUUGCUUGCAAACUGGAGAUGGCGACCGGCGCACGGGUGAGUAACACGUAUCCAACCUGCCGAUAACUCGGGGAUAGCCUUUCGAAAGAAAGAUUAAUACCCGAUGGUAUAAUCAGACCGCAUGGUCUUGUUAUUAAAGAAUUUCGGUUAUCGAUGGGGAUGCGUUCCAUUAGGCAGUUGGUGAGGUAACGGCUCACCAAACCUUCGAUGGAUAGGGGUUCUGAGAGGAAGGUCCCCCACAUUGGAACUGAGACACGGUCCAAACUCCUACGGGAGGCAGCAGUGAGGAAUAUUGGUCAAUGGGCGCAGGCCUGAACCAGCCAAGUAGCGUGAAGGAUGACUGCCCUAUGGGUUGUAAACUUCUUUUAUAUGGGAAUAAAGUUUUCCACGUGUGGAAUUUUGUAUGUACCAUAUGAAUAAGGAUCGGCUAACUCCGUGCCAGCAGCCGCGGUAAUACGGAGGAUCCGAGCGUUAUCCGGAUUUAUUGGGUUUAAAGGGAGCGUAG